CCCAAGAGAAGAUACCACCAGAAAUUCUCCAAGCUUCUGAAAAAAACUGGGAAGGAAAAUUCAGAGCUCUGCAUUUUCAUCCAACCAGCAAUCCAGACAAAUGCAGUUCUGCGCCUCUCCUAGUCUCUUGACCCUUAAACACUGCCAUCUUACAAAGCAGAGUUAUGGUCUGGGUCCAAGAAAGCCAGCUCUUCUUGAAGCAGGACACAAGGGCAGUCCUAGUUGGUGUAUGGCCAAGUCCUUUACAAGGUUCAGAUGUUUUGAAGAUGAAUGUCUGGUACCAUCUAAGAAAUUGGGAAGGAAGGAAGGAAGGAAGGAACAAAAGCCUGUUGCCUCGUCACCUGUUGCCUCAUAAAUCUGAAGAUCGUUUCCAAUUCCAGCUGUAAAGGAAAAUGUACUUCAGG